UGGGGAAUAUUGGGCAAUGGGGGAAACCCUGACCCAGCAACGCCGCGUGAGGGAAGAAGGUUUUCGGAUUGUAAACCUCUGUCGCCAGGGACGAAACAAAUGACGGUACCUGGUGAGGAAGCCCCGGCAAACUACGUGCCAGCAGCCGCGGUAAUACGUAGGGGGCGAGCGUUGUCCGGAAUUACUGGGCGUAAAGGGUGCGUAGGCGGUUUGACAAGUCGGAUGUGGAAUACCCGGGCUUAACCCGGGGGUGUCAUUCGAAACUGUUGGACUUGAGUGCAGAAGAGGAAAGUGGAAUUCCCAGUGUAGCGGUGAAAUGCGUAGAUAUUGGGAGGAACACCAGUGGCGAAGGCGACUUUCUGGGCUGUAACUGACGCUGAGGCACGAAAGCGUGGGGAGCAAACAGG
rnacentral:rRNA from 2 species